CAGCAGCCGCGGUAAUACGUAGGGUGCAAGCGUUAAUCGGAAUUACUGGGCGUAAAGCGUGCGCAGGCGGUUUUGUAAGUCUGAUGUGAAAUCCCCGGGCUCAACCUGGGAACUGCAUUGGAGACUGCAAGGCUAGAGUGUGUCAGAGGGGGGUAGAAUUCCACGUGUAGCAGUGAAAUGCGUAGAGAUGUGGAGGAAUACCGAUGGCGAAGGCAGCCCCCUGGGAUAACACUGACGCUCAUGCACGAAAGCGUGGGGAGCAAACAGGAUUAGAUACCCUGGUAGUCCACGCCCUAAACGAUGUCUACUUAGUUGUCGGGACUUAAUUGUCUUGGUAACGCAGCUAACGCGUGAAGUAGACCGCCUGGGGAGUACGGUCGCAAGAUUAAAACUCAAAGGAAUUGACGG
rnacentral:rRNA from 1 species